rnacentral:lncRNA from 1 species
CAAUCUAUCUAAAACUAUAUUUUUAAAACUAAGAUAAUUCUAAAAUAACCAAAUUAGAUAGAGAUCUUAUUAUAUUAAAUGUUACUAUGCUAUUAUGAUCUUUAAUUGCUACAUCCAAAAGAAAAAUCUCUUGCAUAAGAUCUCCAAAAGUUAACAAACAAUCAUCUAUGUCUUCUACAUGUACAGGUUUAGUUUUCUUGACUAUCAAU